UACGGGGGGGGCAAGCGUUGUUCGGAAUUACUGGGCGUAAAGGCUCGUAGGUGGCCAACUAAGUCAGACGUGAAAUCCCUCGGCUUAACCGGGGAACUGCGUCUGAUACUGGAUGGCUUGAGUUCGGGAGAGGGAUGCGGAAUUCCAGGUGUAGCGGUGAAAUGCGUAGAUAUCUGGAGGAACACCGGUGGCGAAGGCGGCAUCCUGGACCGACACUGACACUGAGGAGCGAAAGCCAGGGGAGCAAACGG
rnacentral:rRNA from 1 species